rnacentral:tRNA from 1 species
GCCGGGGUGGCGAAAUUGGCAGACGCACUGGACUCAAAAUCCAGCGGAGCUUACACUCCGUGCGGGUUCGACUCCCGCCCCCGGCACCA